GAUGAACGCUAGCGGCAGGCCUAAUACAUGCAAGUCGAGGGGUAUGGGAAGCUUGCUUCCUUGAGACCGGCGCACGGGUGCGUAACGCGUAUGCAACCUACCCUUUUCUGGGGGAUAGCCCGGAGAAAUCCGGAGUAAUACCGCAUAAGACCACACGAUGGCAUCAUCGAGGGGUCAAACAUUUAUGGGAGAAGGAUGGGCAUGCGUGCCGUUAGCUAGUUGGCGGGGUAACGGCCCACCAAGGCGACGAUGGCUAGGGGAUCUGAGAGGAUGGCCCCCCACACUGGUACUGAGACACGGACCAGACUCCUACGGGAGGCAGCAGUAAGGAAUAUUGGUCAAUGGGCGCAAGCCUGAACCAGCCAUGCCGCGUGCAGGAAGACGGCCCUCCGGGUUGUAAACUGCUUUUGUACGGGAAUAAACCUCUCUACGUGUAGGGAGCUGAAUGUACCGUAAGAAUAAGGAUCGGCUAACUCCGUGCCAGCCGCCGCGGUAAUAC
rnacentral:rRNA from 1 species